GGGGGUGUAGCUCAGAUGGUAGAGCGCGCGCUUAGCAUGCGCGAGGGUACCGGGAUCGAUACCCGGCACCUCCA
rnacentral:tRNA from 1 species